AGAGUUUGAUCAUGGCUCAAAUUGAACGCUGGCGGCAUGCCUUACACAUGCAAGUCGAACGGUAACAGGUCUUCGGAUGCUGACGAGUGGCGAACGGGUGAGUAAUACAUCGGAACGUGCCCGAUCGUGGGGGAUAACGGAGCGAAAGCUUUGCUAAUACCGCAUACGAUCUACGGAUGAAAGCAGGGGACCGCAAGGCCUUGCGCGGACGGAGCGGCCGAUGGCAGAUUAGGUAGUUGGUGGGAUAAAAGCUUACCAAGCCGACGAUCUGUAGCUGGUCUGAGAGGACGACCAGCCACACUGGGACUGAGACACGGCCCAGACUCCUACGGGAGGCAGCAGUGGGGAAUUUUGGACAAUGGGCGAAAGCCUGAUCCAGCCAUGCCGCGUGCAGGAUGAAGGCCUUCGGGUUGUAAACCCCUUUUGCGGGGGACGAUACUGACGGUACCCCGCGAAGAAGCCUCGGCUAACUCCGUGCCAGCCGCCGCGGUAAUUC
rnacentral:rRNA from 1 species